rnacentral:rRNA from 1 species
UACGUAGGGGGCAAGCGUUGUCCGGAAUCAUUGGGCGUAAAGAGCGCGUAGGCGGUCCGGUAAGUCCGCUCUGAAAGUCCGGGGGCUCAACCCCGGGAGGCGGGCGGAUACUGUCGGGCUAGAGUCCGGAAGAGGCGAGUGGAAUUCCUGGUGUAGCGGUGAAAUGCGCAGAUAUCAGGAGGAACACCGGUGGCGAAGGCGGGACUCUGGGCCGGUACUGACGCUGAGGAGCGAAAGCGUGGGGAGCGAACAGG